CGAAGUCGGAUGCUUAACCAACUGAGCCACCCAGGCGCCCCUGCAUCUUUCUACUUAAAUCUUCAGUCAGAGUCCCUGAGUGGGCUGCCCAGGCCUGCCUUGAACCCUGAGGCCCAGGUGGUGAACUCACCUCUCCAAGGCUGGAUUCCCAGAAAUCACUGACACUAGAGGACGUGACCAUGGACUUCACGUGGGAGGAGUGGCAGCUCCUGCCCUCUGCUCAGAAGAACCUGACAGGAUUUGAUGUUGGAGAACUACAGGAACCUGGUGUCAUUGGGGCAUCAAGCCAGCCAACCAGACGCGCUCUCCAAGCCAGAACGAGGGGAAGAACCGUGGGCGACAGAAGAGGAAGUGUACAGCGGAACCCGUCCAGAAGCCGAGGAAGUUGAUGAUCAUCUACUGUGACACUUGCGUAGCUGGAGGUGCCUAAAGACAACUAGAUAUGGAACGGUGCUGUGAACAUAAUGCUUUUGAAAAUAUUGUCCGUCUGGACCACCAUCAUUUUCCUUUAAGGCAAAAUUAGGGGAAACUCUGAAAUCAAAUUUAAAUUCAGCCAGUUAAAGCAGAGGCUGUGAAAUAAAGAACCUUGUUGAGUGUAGUGGAGAUGAGAAAUCCUUUCUCCUUACAAAGUGUGAGAAAAUUCAUACUAAAAUUGCCUGAAAUUGGAAAACCCAUCAGCACUAAGACUCCCAUUUGUAAGUAUCAGAAGGCUCACAAAAUUGGGAAAUGCACAUGUGCAGUGAAUGUGGGGAAUCCUUCAUCAGAAACUCUCAGCUCACAAAACAUGAGAGGGUUCACUGGGGAGAAAAACCCCAUGGAUACAGUACAUGUGGGAAAGCACAUACCACAAAGUUCAGGCUCACUGAACACCAGAAAAUUCAUACAGGGAAGAAGCCUUCUAUAGGUGAUGUGGCAAAGCCUAUUUUAUAGGAAGUCAUAAGUCAUUAUACACAAGAGAAAUGGAAGACGAGAAAACCCCGUUGAUGUACUAAAUGUGGCAGAACCUUGCUCAUUAAAUGACAUCUCAUUUUACUUUAGAAAACUCAUACCUGAGAGAAACCCUAUGUAUGAUUGUGGAAAGGGCUUCACCCAGAAGGUUAGUUUUGUUGUACAUUGGUGAACUUGUAUUGCGGGAGAAACCCCCUAUAUGCAAUGAAUGUGGACAAGGCUUCAUCCACAAGGUGGGCCUCUGAUGACAUCAGGGAAUUCAUACAAACACGGCUUCCUUUGUAUGUAGGGACUGUAGAAAAUUCUGUCCUCAGAAGGCACC